UUAUCCAAGGAAGUCUUCGUAAUCAAUUAAAAAUUGCGAAAGGAUGGAGAUAUCCCAACAUCCAAACAGGGACUUGAGUAGAGGGAGAAGAACGGAGAAGAAGACGGACUUGGACAUUCUGAAGUCUUCAGUCACACUCUUAAUCUGGCUCUCACUCUCUCCUUCUGCAAUCUUCCGCUCCAUGGCCAAUGCGAUCGUUUGGGGAGAACGCUCUGUUCUAUGGUCUCUCGAUCCUCGACGGAAACCUCAAGCUUUUUCGAACUGGUCUCCUCAAACUUCGUUCUUUAGGGUUUUUGUCCCAAAAUUUGAUUUUUUUUUGGUUCGAUGGCUAAGCGGCUCUCACUGUUCGGUUCUAUCUUUAAGAAUGCAUGUAAUUUCAAUGUUAAAUGUGAAUAUUUCUUUGCAUUUCAUAUAGUUUGUGAAUAUUCCCCGGACCCCGCUCAACGGGAUGCUUUGUGCACCGGGCUGCCCUUUGUGAGUAUUCUAGAUGAAUGAUGGCAUACUUCCCUUACAGUAAUCAGAUAGGUGUGAUGGAUGUUGUGUUUUUUGCUAUUCAGCUAUUUAAUCUAUAGCUUUACGGAACUAUAUUCCUUUUGCCCAAGAAGAAAGUAAAUUUAUGUAUGCUUUUAUCUUUGCUUGGCAGUGGCAUGUUUUAGUUUUCUUUCUUUGAUUUUUUUUUUUUUUUAUGGAGGGAGAUAAUCAUCAGAGGUAGCAUUUUCAUAUGCAUCCUAAGCGAUCAAGUCAAGGAGAUGGGCCAAUUACUAAGCCAGUCGGAAGUAGUGAUAGGCUUAGGAGGAGAGGAGGUCCAGAAUGUAUGGUCACUUGUACUAUUAUUACACUCGAACCAGCUUACCUAGUAGGGAA